UACGUAGGGUGCGAGCGUUAAUCGGAAUUACUGGGCGUAAAGCGUGCGCAGGCGGUUCGUUGUGUCCGUCGUGAAAGCCCCGGGCUUAACCUGGGAACUGCGAUGGAAACUAGCGAGCUGGAGUGUGGCAGGAGGGGGGUGGAAUUCCGCGUGUAGCAGUGAAAUGCGUAGAUAUGACGGAGGAACACCGAUGGCGAAGGCAAUCCCCUGGGCCUGCACUGACGCUCAUGCACGAAAGCGUGGGAGCA
rnacentral:rRNA from 1 species